rnacentral:lncRNA from 1 species
GAAUGUAAAAAGAGCUUCUACAGUGAAAAAAAAAAAAAAAAACAGAAGAGGAAACGUCCUCCUUUAAAACACAAAAGCAGCGCCUGGCUCUAGAAUGUGCCACAUCAGGAUGUGUCUGGGUGGAGACCUCAGCAGGCUGGCACCAGGGCUGGACAGAAAAAAUACAGCUGGACCCUACUCCAGCGUGUCACAGAAAGGCCAGUGGCGACGCCUGCCCCACGUUGCCCUUCUAGAUACCUACUGACCACUCUGGGCCUCCGAGGGAUCAGCGAUGGAGAGGUCCUGAUAGUUCCCCUAAUGGACUUUCUCUCCUGCCUCUCU